AGAGUGAGUAGAAGCGGUCAGUGCAGAACAUGGCAUGGGACAUUGCUCAGCAA
rnacentral:ncRNA from 1 species